GUGCACUUCAGCAGCACAGAUACUAAAAUUGGAAUGACAUAGGGAAAAUUAGCGUGGCCCCUGUUCAAGGAUGACAUGCAAAUUUGUGAAGCAUGCCAUAUAUUU